rnacentral:rRNA from 1 species
UUCCAGACUCCUACGGGAGGCAGCAGUGGGGAAUAUUGCACAAUGGGGGAAACCCUGAUGCAGCGACGCCGCGUGAGUGAAGAAGUAUUUCGGUAUGUAAAGCUCUAUCAGCAGGGAAGAAAAUGACGGUACCUGACCAAGAAGCCCCGGCUAACUACGUGCCAGCAGCCGCGGUAAUACGUAGGGGGCAAGCGUUAUCCGGAUUUACUGGGUGUAAAGGGAGCGUAGACGGCUGAGCAAGUCAGAAGUGAAAGCCCGGGGCUCAACCCCGGGACUGCUUUUGAAACUGCGGAGCUGGAGUGCAGGAGAGGUAAGCGGAAUUCCUGGUGUAGCGGUGAAAUGCGUAGAUAUCAGGAGGAACACCAGUGGCGAAGGCGGCUUACUGGACUGUAACUGACGUUGAGGCUCGAAAGCGUGGGGAGCAAACAGGAUUAGAUACCCGUGUA